UACGUAGGGUGCGAGCGUUAAUCGGAAUUCUGGGCGUAAAGCGUGUCGCAGGCGGCGCGUUAAGACAGGUGUGAAAGCCCCGAGCCGUUAACUUGGGAAUUGCGCUUGUGACUGGCGUGCUGGAGUGUGGCAGAGGGAGGUGGAAUUCCACGUGUAGCAGUGAAAUGCGUAGAGAUGUGGAGGAACACCGAUGGCGAAGGCCAGCCUCCUGGGCCAGCACUGACGCUCGAUGCACGAAAGCGUGGGAGCAA
rnacentral:rRNA from 1 species